CCUGGAUGAUGAGCUUCCACCCAUGGUCCGUGUUUCUGAAAUACAUGAUUUCUGUGGAACUUCUGAUGUU
ensembl:snoRNA SNORD18 Small nucleolar RNA SNORD18